CGGGGUGUCAGUGCGGGCAAGUUGCAUGGAAAUGCACGCCGUGGAGGGUGAGAGCCCCGUCCAACCCACACAGGACACGCCGUACGAGAGCGUUUCAGGCGAGUCGGGUAGCUUGGGAAUGCUGCUCUAAUCGGUGGUAAAUCUCAUCGAAGGCUAAAUAGCGGCUGGAGACCGAUAGCGAACAAGUACCGUGAGGGAAAGAUGACAAGCACUUUGAAAAGAGGGUGAAAAGAGCCUGAAACCGUCAUGGGGGAAGCGGAUCGCGUUGGCCUGGUGGGCGCCUGUGUGUUCAGCCUUCGGGUGCAUUGGCACAGGUGCUUAUCCGCUGUGGGUUUUCGGGGGUCGAUUUUGGAUCCCUGGAGGCUGAGGGCUCCCUUCGGGUGAGGACAGCGGAGUGACGACGCGAUACGACCCGUCUUGAAACACGGACCAAGGAGUCUAGCGCGGGUGCGAGUCGGAGGGUGCAAGCCCGUGGGCGAAGUGAAAGCGAGUGUAAAAACGAGCAGUUUGGGGCGGCAUAAGAUCGUUGAUCUCAAGACCGACCCAGAGCAGUUGCGCUGGGACCCGAAAGAUGGUGAACUAUGCCGGAGUAGGGCAAAGCCAGAGGAAACUCUGGUGGAGGCUCGUAGCGGUGCUGACGUGCAAAUCGCUCGUCCAACUUGGGUAUAGGGGCGAAAGACUAAUCGAACCAUCUAGUAGCUGGUUCCCUCCGAAGUUUCUCUCAGGAUAGCGGGCCGACAAGUUGUUUUGUGCGGUAAAGCGAAUGAUUAGCGCACGUGGGGCCAUUUCGGCUUCAGGCGAUUCUCAAACUUUAAAUGCGCAAGGGUGUCGCUGCUUAAUUGAGCGGCACCGCUAAAAACGUCGGCCCUGUGGGCCACUUUUGGUAAGCAG
rnacentral:rRNA from 1 species